rnacentral:rRNA from 1 species
GAAGGCAGCAGGCGCGCAAAUUACCCACUCCCGGAACGGGGAGGUAGUGACGAAAAAUAACAAUACGGGACUCUUUUGAGACCCCGUAAUUGGAAUGAGUACACUCUAAAUCCUUUAACGAGGAUCCAUUGGAGGGCAAGUCUGGUGCCAGCAGCUGCGGUAAUUCCAGCUCCAAUAGCGUAUAUUAAAGUUGUUGCGGUUAAAAAGCUCGUAGUUGGAUCUCAGCUCGAGACGGAGGGUCCGCCUACCGGUGGUUACUUUCUGUUCUCAGCAUUCCGCCGGUUUCUCUUGAUGAUCUUCACCGGUUGUCUUGGGUGACCGGCAAGUUUACUUUGAAAAAAUUAGGGUGCUCAAAGCGGGCGCGACGCCUGAAUAAUGGUGCAUGGAAUAAUGGAAUAGGACCUCGGUUCUAUUUUGUUGGUUUUCGGAACACGAGGUAAUGAUUAAGAGGGACAGACGGGGGCAUUCGUAUUGCGACGCUAGAGGUGAAAUUCUUGGACCGUCGCAAGACGAACUACUGCGAAAGCAUUUGCCAAGAAUGUUUCCAUUAAUCAAGAACGAAAGUUAGAGGCUCGAAGGCGAUCAGAUACCGCCCUAGUUCUAACCAUAAACGAUGCCAGCCAGCGAUCCGGCUGUGUUCCUCAAAUGACACGCCGGGCAGCUUCCGGGAAGCCAAAGCUUUUGGNNCC